UACGAAGGGGGCUAGCGUUGCUCGGAAUCACUGGGCGUAAAGGGUGCGUAGGCGGGUCUUUAAGUCAGGGGGGAAAUCCUGGAGCUCAACUCCAGAACUGCCUUUGAUACUGAGGAUCUUGAGUUCGGAAGAGGUGAGUGGAACUGCGAGUGUAGAGGUGAAAUUCGUAGAUAUUCGCAAGAACACCAGUGGCGAAGGCGGCUCACUGGUCCGAUACUGACGCUGAGGCACGAAAGCGUGGGGAGCAAACAGG
rnacentral:rRNA from 1 species